rnacentral:rRNA from 1 species
AGAUUGAACGCUGGCGGCGUGCCUAACACAUGCAAGUCGAGCGGUAACAGGUGUAGCAAUACAUGCUGACGAGCGGCGAACGGGUGAGUAAUGCUUUGGAAUCUUCCCAGUAGUGGGGAAUAACCAGUCGAAAGAUUGGCUAAUACCGCAUACGUCUGUAAAGGGAAAGCGGGGGCUCGUAAGACCUCGCGCUAUUGGAUGAGCCAAAGUCGGAUUAGCUAGUUGGUGGGGUAAUGGCCUACCAAGGCGACAAUCCGUAGCUGGUCUGAGAGGACGACCAGCCACACCGGAACUGAGACACGGUCCGGACUCCUACGGGAGGCAGCAGUGGGGAAUAUUGGACAAUGGGCGCAAGCCUGAUCCAGCCAUGCCGCGUGAGUGAUGAAGGCCCUAGGGUUGUAAAGCUCUUUUGUGCGGGAAGAUAAUGACGGUACCGCAAGAAUAAGCCCCGGCUAACUUCGUGCCAGCAGCCGC